GACGAACCGUGCAAACGUUGUUCGGAAUCACUGGGCUUAAAGGGCGCGUAGGCGGGCAAGCAAGUCGAAGGUGAAAUCCCACGGCUCAACCCGUGGAAGUGCCCCCGAUACUGCUUGUCUUGAGGGAGAUAGGGGCGUGCGGAACUUCCGGUGGAGCGGUGAAAUGCGUAGAUAUCGGAAGGAACACCGGUGGCGAAAGCGGCGCGCUGGAUCUCUUCUGACGCUGAGGCGCGAAAGCCAGGGGAGCAAACGGGAGUUAGAUGACCCCAGUA
rnacentral:rRNA from 1 species